rnacentral:rRNA from 1 species
UAAGCAGAGUAUGAAAGCUCACGGCUCAACCGUGAACCCGUAUUCUGAACUGAUUAACUAGAGGGCGAGAGAGGUUUCUAGAAUUUCUUGUGUAGGAGUGAAAUCCGUAGAUAUAAGAAGGAAUACCGAUGGCGUAGGCAGGAAACUGGCUCGCACCUGACACUAAGGCACGAAAGCGUGGGUAGCAAACGGGAUUAGAUACCCCGGUAGUCCACGCCGUAAACGAUGGAUGCUA